rnacentral:lncRNA from 1 species
AACCUCAAAGAUCCCUCUAAUCUUCUCAUGUGCUCUCCUUUCCCAUAGUUCUUUGAAAAAAACAAUAAAACUAAAAGAAAAAGAAGUGAAAGAAAAAAAAGAUCAUCUAAGUGGGGAAAGAUUAAAUAUAUUAUAUUGGAUUAGAUUAAGCUCUCAAAACCUCAAGGGAUCAACUCACACCACCACAGCUCACACAAAAUCCCAUAUUCUUCAAAAAAACCCUAAUCGAAACCAAA